CACGUAGGGUGCGAGCGUUGUCCGGAAUUAUUGGGCGUAAAGAGCUCGUAGGCGGUGUGUCGCGUCGGCCGUGAAAACCUGCAGCUUAACUGUGGGCUUGCGGUCGAUACGGGCAUCACUGGAGUUCGGCAGGGGAGACUGGAAUUCCUGGUGUAGCGGUGAAAUGCGCAGAUAUCAGGAGGAACACCGGUGGCGAAGGCGGGUCUCUGGGCAGUAACUGACGCUGAGGAGCGAAAAGCGUGGGGGAGCGAACAGG
rnacentral:rRNA from 1 species